UACGUAGGGCGCAAGCGUUGUCCGGAAUUAUUGGGCGUAAAGAGCUCGUAGGCGGUCUGUCGCGUCUGUUGUGAAAACUCGAGGCUCAACCUCGGGCUUGCAGUGGAUACGGGCAGACUAGAGUGCGGUAGGGGAGACUGGAAUUCCUGGUGGAGCGGUGAAAUGCGCAGAUAUCAGGAGGAACACCCGUAGCGAAGGCGGCACUCUGGGCCGAUACUGACACUGAGGAGCGAAAGCGUGGGGAGCGAACAGG
rnacentral:rRNA from 1 species